UCCUGUGAUUCGAAGCAAAAGGCCAAAUAACGAGAAAGAUAAAUUUUAGAGAGAGUUUGGGGGGGGGGGGAGGAGCGAGGAGGAGAUAGAAAGGUCGAAGAACUAGGGUUUCGUCUUGAGAGGCAUUACCUUGAGAAGGAGCUGCGAGCGAUCAUCUGUAUCCGGAGGCGACAGCCCGCUAAACGAACGGCUGCCCCUGCUCUUCUUUCUCGCCGUGACACCGAGUGGUGGGCACGUGCGACCCCAAGAAAGAGCAGCGC
rnacentral:lncRNA from 1 species